rnacentral:rRNA from 1 species
GGUGGUUUGUCGCGUUGUUCGUGAAACCUCACAGCUUAACUGUGGGCGUGCGGGCGAUACGGGCAGACUGGAGUACUGCAGGGGAGACUGGAAUUCCUGGUGUAGCGGUGGAAUGCGCAGAUAUCAGGAGGAACACCGGUGGCGAAGGCGGGUCUCUGGGCAGUAACUGACGCUGAGGAGCGAAAGCGUGGGGAGCGAACAGGAUUAGAUACCCUGGUAGUCCACGCCGUAAACGGUGGGUACUAGGUGUGGGUUUCCUUCCUUGGGAUCCGUGCCGUAGCUAACGCAUUAAGUACCCCGCCUGGGGAGUACGGCCGCAAGGCUAAAACUCAAAGGAAUUGACGGGGGCCCGCACAAGCGGCGGAGCAUGUGGAUUAAUUCGAUGCAACGCGAAGAACCUUACCUGGGUUUGACAUGCACAGGACGUCGGCAGAGAUGUCGGUUCCCUUGUGGCCUGUGUGCAGGUGGUGCAU